rnacentral:tRNA from 1 species
GAUCCUAUAGCUCAAUUGGUUAGAGCGUCGGCCUGAUACGUCGAAGGUUGAAGGUUCAAGUCCUUCUGGGAUUA